rnacentral:rRNA from 1 species
CUUACCUACCCUUGACAUGUCUGGAAUGCCGAAGAGAUUUGGCAGUGCUCGCAAGAGAACCGGAACACAGGUGCUGCAUGGCUGUCGUCAGCUCGUGUCGUGAGAUGUUGGGUUAAGUCCCGCAACGAGCGCAACCCUUGUCAUUAGUUGCUACGAAAGGGCACUCUAAUGAGACUGCCGGUGACAAACCGGAGGAAGGUGGGGAUGACGUCAAGUCCUCAUGGCCCUUAUGGGUAGGGCUUCACACGUCAUACAAUGGUCGGGACAGAGGGUCGCCAACCCGCGAGGGGGAGCCAAUCCCAGAAACCCGAUCGUAGUCCGGAUCGCAGUCUGCAACUCGACUGCGUGAAGUCGGAAUCGCUAGUAAUCGCGCACCA